UACGUAGGGACCGAGCGUUGUCCGGAAUCAUUGGGCGUAAAGAGCGUGUAGGCGGCCAACUAAGUCCUGCGUGAAAUCUCGGGGCUCAACCCCGAGCGGUCGUGGGAAACUGGUUGACUAGAGUGCGGGAGAGGAGAGUGGAAUUCCUGGUGUAGCGGUGAAAUGCGCAGAUAUCAGGAAGAACACCCGUGGCGAAGGCGGCUCUCUGGAACGCAACUGACGCUGAGACGCGAAAGCGUGGGGAGCAAACAGG
rnacentral:rRNA from 1 species